ACGGAGAGCAAGACGAGACAAGAGUGUUUAAAGACGUGUUGAAUAUCUGAAAAUCUCAACAUGAGUAAUCCACAACAACAUCAGGUAAGAUAUUUACAAUUCCUCUCGAGUAUACAAAUUUUAUAGCAUUGCAAAUUUUAUUAGCAUUUGAAUUGUGCAUAUCUGUGGAUUCAUUCAUUAAUUGUAAGUUUUAAAGAAUAACACACUGAUCGUUCUGUAUAUUAACAGGGCUGCAAAGAUUCUGGCUCCAUGGUAUGAAGACAAUAACGCACUCUUUACAUUUCUACACAAAUAGUUAAAGAACUUUUCCAUUGUAUGCUAAUCCUAUUCUCAUAUUUCCUGUCUCAUAGAGCUCAGGAGACGAAUGUGGACAGAAGCACGGAAAGGGCCAAGGCAAAGAUAAAGGGAAAUCUCAGCAACAGCAAGGACAGCAAGGACAGCAAGGACAGGAAGGACAAGGUCAUGGUCACGGUCAUGGAGGUGAUCAUGGGAAAAAGGGACAAGCAUGUGAGCAGCAAAAAGGAAAAAAGUGUUAAGGUCAUAACCUGAGACCAUGGUGGUCCAUGCAUGUCCUCAUGCUUUACAUAUCAAAACUGGGGUUCAGCUCCAUAUUGUAUUCAAAUAAUGAAAUUAAAACACUCUUAAAUG
ensembl:lncRNA